rnacentral:sRNA from 1 species
CGGAGACCCGCUCCCAGAGACGCCGCCUCGCGAUCCCCGCGCGGGCGGGACCGGGCGGCCGGCGUCAUGACCCUGUUUCACUUCGGGAACUGCUUCGCUCUUGCCUACUUUCCCUACUUCAUCACCUACAAGUGCAGCGGCCUGUGAGUGCGGGAAGGGCGCGGGGCGGAGAGGGCGCGGAGCCCGGGCCGACCCUCACCUCCUGCUUCUCCAGGUCCGAGUACAACGCCUUCUGGAAAUGCGUCCAGGCUGGAGUCACCUACCUCUUUGUCCAACUCUGCAAGAUGCUGUUCUUGGCCACUUUCUUUCCCACCUGGGAAGGCGGCAUCUAUGACUUCAUUGGGGAGUUCAUGAAGGCCAGCGUGGAUGUGGCAGACCUGAUAGGUCUAAACCUUGUCAUGUCCCGGAAUGCCGGCAAGGGGGAGUACAAGAUCAUGGUUGCUGCCCUGGGCUGGGCCACCGCCGAGCUUAUUAUGUCCCGGUGCGUGCAACAGCCUGGAGCCCAGACCCCUGAGAAGGGACACCUGGGUUCCACGGGGGUGCUGGAGGGCAGGGGCUCAAAGCCUGGUGCUGAAGGUGUCUAGGUACUGGAGAAUCCCAUCCUUUGCCUUCCUCAGCUGCAUUCCCCUAUGGGUCGGAGCCCGGGGCAUUGAGUUUGACUGGAAGUACAUCCAGAUGAGCAUCGACUCCAACAUCAGUCUGGUAGGCAGUCCUGCUCUCCCACAUACACGUUUCUGCUGGCGGCCAUAUUCCUCCCCGAGGCCUGGCCCCGACUUUCUGCCUCCCUCCAGGUCCAUUACAUCGUCGCGUCUGCUCAGGUCUGGAUGAUAACACGCUAUGAUCUGUACCACACCUUCCGGCCAGCUGUCCUCCUGCUGAUGUUCCUCAGUGUCUACAAGGCCUUCGUUAUGGAGACCUUCGUCCACCUCUGCUCCCUAGGCAGUUGGACAGCCCUACUGGCCCGAGCAGUGGUAACGGGGCUGCUGGCCCUCAGCACUUUGGCCCUGUAUGUCGCCGUUGUCAAUGUGCACUCCUAGGCUUGGUGUCUCAGACAUUGAUGUACCUUUUCCCUGCCUCGCUCCAGGUUUUAGUGAAGUAAACAGUAUUUGGAAAGUU